UACGUAGGGGGGCAAGCGUUGUCCGGAGUUACUGGGCGUAAAGCGCACGCAGGCGGUCGAUUAAGUUUGGAGUGACAGUUGGUGGCUUAACUGCCAAAGUGCUUUGAAAACUGAUCGACUUGAGGGCUUCAGAGGGACACGGAAUUCCGGGUGGAGUGGUGAAAUGCGUAGAGAUCCGGAGGAACACCGAAGGCGAAGGCAGUGUCCUGGGGAGUACCUGACGCUCAGGUGCGAAAGCCAGGGGAGCGAACGGG
rnacentral:rRNA from 1 species